AUCUAUAUAUAUAAAGGAGAACUUCCCUUCACCUCAGCUUGCCACGUCAUUCAUCUCAUCUCUCAGUCCUCCACGUCAUUCCCUCUUCUACUUUUCUCCUUCGUGCAGAUAACUUAAAAUAUGGGCCAAGCAAAAUUCUUUUCAAGCCAACAUCCAUAUCAGGCCACCCUCUUUUUUUUCUUUCUACAACUCUUCUUACCAGCCCAUUAUCACAUGGCUCAGUCUCAGUUAUUAAAAAACGCCUCGCACAGACGCUUCCAUGUCACUUGAUCUCCCUCAUCUCCACCAGUAGGCAAAACCUUAAUAUUAUCUCCUGCUCAGAUUCUAUGGUAUAACGCUCUUCUCCACGACUAAGCUUCAUUAUUGCGCUUCUAAUCGAAGCGGAACUAAUCUCUCCACUUCCUUCAUCUUCGCACCAUAAAACCCAGUCAGUUCUCUCACUUAUCUCUUACGCAAAUACACGUUACAAAAGAAACAAAGAAAACCAUGGCUAACAAAACGACGAUAUCAACCUCCACGGCCCACACUGCUAUUUUUUUCAAGGAUGUUCUUCUCGGCUUGAGCAAGAGGAAUCUGGUUUGGUCUAUAGGAUUUGUUGGUUCAGUCUCAGUAAUUCAGGUUUGAGCUCAGCUGGUUUGAAUAUUAAUAAUAGAAUACAUUGGCAUCUUUUCUAUUCAUUCUUAGUAUGCCUAUUUGAUUUACAACAGAUCAGGAGCUACGCCCAAAAAAAACUUUUUCCAAGUUCGGAAAACAUGACAUUAGCACAAGUGCCACCCCCUAG
rnacentral:lncRNA from 1 species